rnacentral:rRNA from 1 species
GAUGAACGCUGGCGGCGUGCCUAAUACAUGCAAGUCGAGCGAACGGACGAGAAGCUUGCUUCUCUGAUGUUAGCGGCGGACGGGUGAGUAACACGUGGAUAACCUACCUAUACGACUGGGAUAACUUCGGGAAGCCGGAGCUAAUACCGGAUGAUAUUUUGAACCGCAUGGUUCAAAAGUGAAAGACGGUCUUGCUGUCACUUAUAGAUGGAUCCGCGCUGCAUUAGCUAGUUGGUAAGGUAACGGCUUACCAAGGCAACGAUGCAUAGCCGACCUGAGAGGGUGAUCGGCCACACUGGAACUGCGACGCGGUCCAGACUCCUAUGGGAGGCAGCAGUAGGGAAUAUUCCGCAAUGGGCGGAAGCCUGACGGAGCAACGCCGCGUGAGUGAUGAAGGUCUUCGGAGCGUAAAACUCUGUUAUUAGGGAAGAACAAAUGUGUAAGUAACUGUGCACAGCUUGACGGUACCUAAUCAGAAAGCCACGGCUAACUACGUG